rnacentral:rRNA from 1 species
CAGUCAGAACCAUAAGUCUCAAAGCCCCGACGAGUAGGGUGGCGUGCCGGUGCGCGUUGAAGGCCAAGACGUGAGUCAGGCUGGAGCCGCCGGUAGUGCAGAUCUUGGUGGUAGUAGCAAGUACUCUGGUGAACCAACCUGGAGCUGUGAGGUCUGGAUUAGGGUUCCAUGUCAACAGUGAUUGAACAUGGGUGAGUCGAACCUAAGCCAACUGUGAAAGCAGUGACAUCCCGACAAAGGGGCACUAUAUAUAUGUGUGCUGUACUUACACCCCCAAACCAAAGCUCUCGUAUUGCUCUCUCUCUCUGACAAUAAGGUGUCUGGCAUGGAAUAUGGGCACACACACACGGUGAUCACUUCAAAUAAAUAAGUGAGUGUGACACGCUCUUGAGGCUGAUGGUUACGGAAUAUGGCAGCCCACACACACACACAAUGACCCAUACAAAUACGUAUGAGAGUGUGUGUGUGGGCAUUAAUUUGGUUACGCUCAUAAGCGUUGUGGAUAAAGCAUAAAACGGGAGAGAGAGAGAGAAACGGAGUGGGUGAGCGUGAGUGUUGCUCCUGCAUGAUGAAGCACCCUGCGUCUGGUUCUAUGUCUGGCGAAAGGGAAUGGGGACUUUGUUCCUUGACCGGUCCUGGCACCCUCGAUUGGCUUUGCCAAUUAAUGGUCCAUGCAAAUGGAACCAGGCCACAGCCGUCGGCAGUCGCCCGAGGAAGAGUUUUCUUUUCUGCUUAACGCACGAGGUCAUCCCUGGAAACAGUUCGGCUGGCGAAAGGGUGCCCCGCUGCGGCAGAGCGCCACGACUGUCGUGCGCGUCUCGGUGUUCCUGCUGAUCCGUGAAGACGUGGUCGAGGGGAUUGCUCUUGUAUCAACGAAACGCCCGACAAGUUCGGGACGGACCGUACCCUAUAUCCGCAUCUGGUCUCCAAGGUUCUUAGCCUCUGCAGAGUCAGACACAUGUAGGUAAGGGAAGUCGGCAAACUCGAUCCGUAACUUCGGGAAAAGGAUUGGCUCUGAGGGCCGAGCUGGGCCGGGCCUUGCCUGCAAAGCAGUACCUAUAGUGACCGGAGUUUCAGGAGUGCGAGGGGCUCUAGUAGCUGCUUGUGCGUGUGUGCGUUCGCGCGUGCACGCGUGUGGGCACGAACGAGUCCACCGCU